GACGAACGCUGGCGGCGUGCUCAACACAUGCAAGUCGAACGGAAAGGCCCUGCUUUUGUGGGGUGCUCGAGUGGCGAACGGGUGAGUAACACGUGAGUAACCUGCCCUUGACUUUGGGAUAACUUCAGGAAACUGGGGCUAAUACCGGAUAGGAGCUCCUGCUGCAUGGUGCGGGUUGGAAAGUUUCGGCGGUUGGGGAUGGACUCGCGGCUUAUCAGCUUGUUGGUGGGGUAGUGGCUUACCAAGGCUUUGACGGGUAGCCGGCCUGAGAGGGUGACCGGCCACAUUGGGACUGAGAUACGGCCCAGACUCCUACGGGAGGCAGCAGUGGGGAAUAUUGCACAAUGGGCGGAAGCCUGAUGCAGCAACGCCGCGUGCGGGAUGACGGCCUUCGGGUUGUAAACCGCUUUCGCCUGUGACGAAGCGUGAGUGACGGUAAUGGGUAAAGAAGCACCGGCUAACUACGU
rnacentral:rRNA from 1 species